rnacentral:rRNA from 1 species
GGUUAACCGUAUAGGGGAGCCGUAGAGAAAUCGAGUCUUAAUAGGGCGUUUAGUUGCUGGGUAUAGACCCGAAACCAGGCGAUCUAUCCAUGAGCAGGUUGAAGGUUGGGUAACACUAACUGGAGGACCGAACCCACUGUCGUUGAAAAGCCAGGGGAUGACUUGUGGAUAGGGGUGAAAGGCUAAUCAAGCCUGGUGAUAGCUGGUUCUCCCCGAAAGCUAUUUAGGUAGCGCCUCGGACGAAUACCAUAGGGGGUAGAGCACUGUUUCGGCUAGGGGGUCAUCCCGACUUACCAAACCGAUGCAAACUCCGAAUACCUAUGAGUACUAUCCGGGAGACAGACUGCGGGUGCUAACGUCCGUAGUCAAGAGGAAAACAAUCCAGACCGCCAGCUAAGGCCCCAAAAUCAUAGUUAAGUGGGAAACGAUGUGGGAAGGCAUAGACAGCUAGGAGGUUGGCUUAGAAGCAGCCACCCUUUAAAGAAAGCGUAAUAGCUCACUAGUCGAGUCGGCCUGCGCGGAAGAUGUAACGGGGCUAAAACUAUGUGCCGAAGCUGCGGAUGUAUACUUUGUAUACGUGGUAGGGGAGCGUUCUGUAAG